GCGUCCGUGGCAAACGCCGAGUCAGGAGCUGAAGGAACAGCCCGUCGAGCCCUUGAUUUUAUGCUCGACGGUUCUGAUCUUUAAAGCGAGAAAACCGCAGAUGUAGUCUAUCGGCGCGAACGGGGGAGUCCCGUUUCGCGUUCUCCCUUCUCACCCACAGCUAGGAAACAGAAUACCCCACAAGCAUCGUACUAUUUACGCCAUUCCCUCCACCCCCUCCGGAUUUGGGCCACGCCCUUUAAAACUCUGAGACAGCUGCGAUCUGAAGGGGAGACGAAUCGAGAGAAAGAAGAGAAGCAAGACGAGGUGACAGAAUCGAAGGAGUGAUGCUUACCUCAGACUUAAACUUGGGGCACAGUCAUUGAUGAUCCACCUUAUGGGCCUUUUCUCUUGUGUCCUGUUUAGUUUUGAGCUUCUCUUGACAAUUGUAUAUCAAGGGACAAAUUUCAUUUGAAACAUUCCAUGUUGUACAUAUGUAUGUAAAGCUACAGUCAUCUUUCAUCAAAAUUCGUGGAUGUAAUUUUGAUUUUACGCGGGACGGAGAAUCAACUUGCAAUUAGUCCUGGAAUCUUGAUCAUCUGAAAUUUGGAAAUUCUGGCUGUUUUCUGAUCAAUGGAGAGCUUAGCACAGCUGGAAGCCUUGUGCGAAAGGCUUUACACUACUCAGGAUUCAGCUGAACGAGCACAUGUGGAGAGCACCUUGAAAUGCUUUUCUGUGAAUUCUGAUUACAUUUCACAGUGCCAAUACAUUUUGGACAAUGCUUUGACUCCUUAUGCUCUGAUGUUGGCUA